UACAGAGGUCCCGAGCGUUGUUCGGAUUCACUGGGCGUAAAGGGUGCGCAGGUGGGUUUGCAAGUUUGAUGUGAAAGCCCCCGGGCUUAACCCGGGAAUGGCAUUGAAUGACUGCGGAUCUGGAGGAUUGGAGGGGGGACUGGAAUUCUUGGUGUAGCAGUGAAAUGCGUAGAUAUCAAGAGGAACACCAGUGGCGAAGGCGAGUCCCUGGACAAUACCUGACACUGAGACACGAAAGCCAAGGGAGCAAACAGG
rnacentral:rRNA from 1 species